rnacentral:rRNA from 1 species
GAUGAACGCUGGCGGCGUGCCUAAUACAUGCAGGUCGAGCGAACGGACGAGAAGCUUGCUUCUCUGAUGUUAGCGGCGGACGGGUGAGUAACACGUGGAUAACCUACCUAUAAGACUGGGAUAACUUCGGGAAACCGGAGCUAAUACCGGAUAAUAUUUUGAACCGCAUGGUUCAAAAGUGAAAGACGGUCUUGCUGUCACUUAUAGAUGGAUCCGCGCUGCAUUAGCUAGUUGGUAAGGUAACGGCUUACCAGGGCAACGAUGCAUAGCCGACCUGAGAGGGUGAUCGGCCACACUGGAACUGAGACACGGUCCAGACUCCUACGGGAGGCAGCAGUAGGGAAUCUUCCGCAAUGGGCGAAAGCCUGACGGAGCAACGCCGCGUGAGUGAUGAAGGUCUUCGGAUCGUAAAACUCUGUUAUUAGGGAAGAACAUAUGUGUAAGUAACUGUGCACAUCUUGACGGUACCUAAUCAGAAAGCCACGGCUAACUACGUG